GGGAGACAAUCCUUCUUUCCACUUCUCCAUGUGUCUUCUCUCUCUUGGGAGCAAUUGAAUCAAUCUCAUCAAUAAAAAUAAUGGACGGUGCAUUCUUCUCUGCUUCCUCGAAUGCUUUCCUGAGGUUGCUUUCACUCUCCCCAGCCAAUUUGGACAUGAUCUCAGGCCCAUUGAUACAGAAGAAGAAAGCACCAGUUUCAUUAGCAACAGCACGGGCAAUCAGAGUCUUCCCAGAACCGGGAGGUCCAUAAAGCAGAAUUCCUUUUGGUGGCUUCACACCGAUUGACUUAAAAAGCUGUGGAUGCCUCAAUGGGAGCUCAACCAGUUCUCUUAUCUGAGCCAUC
rnacentral:lncRNA from 1 species